ensembl:lncRNA
GAUUUAGCAGGAACAGAGACAGUGCUCGACUGGGAACAAGUAUGUGUCAAAGACUUUUAAUGAGUAACCAGCUCAGAUUCAACAUGCAGUGCUGGGGGCUAAGGCAUCUCAGUUUUGGACCAGCAGAAGAAAUCCAAGAAAAAAUAUUGGCUGAGAAUGGUCAGAGGACUCAACUUCUACAUGGUGAAACAACAGGAGCAUUUCAUUCUGCAAGGACUUUUUAAAAUUCGUAUUUAAGUUUGCCUGCCUAAGUACAGUGAGAGACCAGUGACCUUUUCUUUCCUGUCAGCACUGUUAACAGCAAGCUCCCUUCCAACAUUAUAGCAUCUAAAUACUGUGCUGCCUCACUUCAAGUAAAGCAUGAGCUUAAAUAUAUUACUGUGCUGAGAUUCAAAUGAUGGGUUAUUUUAGCAUUGCUGUUCCUGAGCCAAGUUAUUUGUGAGUCAAUAAUUUCCAUGGAACUGUACAAGGCAUAGAAGAAAAUCCAUGAUAUGAAAUGUUUAUAAAAAACACACAAGCAAACUAAGAAAAGAAACUAAAAAAGUUAUUAUCCCUGUCACUCAUAGAUGACAAAUUCUCUUGAAUGUAGACUAAAGCUUAGCAAAGUUAAUUGAAAUUUUCUAUGAGUUUUGUAAAUUCUUCGCUUUUAGAACUCAGUUCUGUGGUGUUAUCCAUGGUAUCACAGUGUACUACUUUUGGUCAAUUUCUGGAACCAAGCAGCUUUCUGAAGUUCUUUGUGUCUAUUUGAAGUAUUUAUUUCUUUUUCAGUCUUUAUUUUCUAGUAAGAGUGUAGGCCAUGGGCACCAUUUUCUUGAUAUAAUGCUGAAGACAAAAAUGUCUCAUGUCCC